rnacentral:tRNA from 1 species
CAAUCGGUGGUUUAGUGGUCAAGACGCUCGCCUGGUAAGCAGGAGGACGUGGGUUCAAUUUCAUUCCGGCCGA